AAUGGCUGGGACAAAGGGUCGCGAUCCCGCGAGGGUGAGCUAACCCCAAAAACUCGUCCUCAGUUCGGAUUGCAGGCUGCAACUCGCCUGCAUGAAG
rfam:Nicotiana attenuata strain TT chromosome 1, whole genome shotgun sequence.